rnacentral:rRNA from 1 species
AUGGCGGCCGGUGGCUUCGUAGCAGGCGACAGCCGUGUGCAGGAGUACGGCGGCCGCAUGACUUUCUCCGUCGUGGUGACCUCCCUCAUGGCCGCCUCUUGCGGCCUCAUCUUCGGCUAUGACUCUGGCGUCACAGGUGGCGUGACACAAAUGGAAUCGUUCCUGAGCAAGUUCUUCCCGGAAGUGCAGAGCAGAAUGAAGAGCCCGAAGCGUGACGCAUACUGCAAGUACGACAACCAGUGGCUCACCGCCUUUACAUCGUCCUUGUUCAUCGCCGGCACUCUAUCAUCGUUGGUGGCGAGCCGAGUCACGAGGAGUGUGGGCCGCCAGGCAAUCAUGCUGAUUGGCGGUGUCAUGUUCCUUGCCGGCUCGAUCAUCAACGCCGCGGCCGUCAACAUCGCCAUGCUCAUCAUCGGCCGGAUUCUACUCGGUUUUGGUCUUGGGUUCACAUUACAGGCAGCUCCUGUGUACCUCUCUGAGACAGCGCCGGCGCGGUGGCGAGGCGCAUUCACGUCGUCGUACAACACGUUCGUCGUCAUCGGCAUACUGUCCGCUACCAUCACCAACUACUUCACCAACCGCAUCCCUGGCUGGGGAUGGCGCCUCUCCCUCGGCCUAGCAGCCGUUCCGGGCGUCAUCAUCGUCGUGGGAGCCUUCUUCAUCCCGGACACCCCCAGCAGCCUCGUCCUGCGAGGCCAGCCCGACCGAGCCCGCGCGGCGCUGCAGCGUAUCCGCGGAGAUGGCACCAACAUCGAUGCCGAGUUCAAGGACAUCGUCCGCGCCGUGGACGAGGCACGCCGGAACAACGUCGGCUCUUUCCGGAGGCUAUUCAGCAAGCAGUACCGGCACUACCUGGCCGUGGGGCUGGCCAUACCCAUCUUCUUCGAGUUCACCGGCAUGAUCGUCAUCGCCGUAUUCUCGCCUGUGCUGUUCCGCACGGUGGGGUUCAACAGCCAGAAGGCCAUACUUGGUUCUGUGAUAAACAGCAUGACAAACUUGGUAGCCACAGUUCUGUCCACCUUCGUUAUGGACCGCACCGGCCGUAGGUUCCUGCUCAUCGUUGGGGGCAUCGGCAUGAUGUUCUGCGAGGUGGCCAUCUCAUGGGUGAUGGCGGGCCAUCUCGGGAAGCACCAAGGGGUGACGAUGCCGCAUGGCUACGCGACCGCUGUGCUGGUCCUCAUCUGCCUCUGCACGUUCAGCUUCGGUGUGUCGUGGGCACCGCUCAGAUGGGUGGUGCCGAGCGAGAUCUACCCGGUGGAGAUCAGGUCGGCCGGGCAGGCCAUGAGCAUCUCUGUCGCACUGUGUCUCUCCUUCGUGGAGUUGCAGGUGUUCAUCGCGUUGCUCUGCGGCAUGAAGUACGGCGUGUUCCUCUUCUACGCCGGCUGGCUUCUAACAAUGACCAUCUUCGUGGCAGCAUUCCUGCCGGAAACCAAGGGCGUGCCGUUGGAAGCAAUGCAGUCAGUGUGGACGGGACAUUGGUACUGGAGGAGGUUUGUCAAGCAGGAUGCCAACCAUGAAAGCCAAAUCACCAGUGUGUCAGCUAAUUAG